rnacentral:rRNA from 1 species
AGUCGAGCGANAGACGAGGAGCUUGCUCCUCUGACGUUAGCGGCGGACGGGUGAGUAACACGUGGAUAACCUACCUAUAAGACUGGGAUAACUUCGGGAAACCGGAGCUAAUACCGGAUAAUAUAUUGAACCGCAUGGUUCAAUAGUGAAAGACGGUUUUGCUGUCACUUAUAGAUGGAUCCGCGCCGCAUUAGCUAGUUGGUAAGGUAACGGCUUACCAAGGCAACGAUGCGUAGCCGACCUGAGAGGGUGAUCGGCCACACUGGAACUGAGACACGGUCCAGACUCCUACGGGAGGCAGCAGUAGGGAAUCUUCCGCAAUGGGCGAAAGCCUGACGGAGCAACGCCGCGUGAGUGAUGAAGGUCUUCGGAUCGUAAAACUCUGUUAUUAGGGAAGAACAAAUGUGUAAGUAACUAUGCACGUCUUGACGGUACCUAAUCAGAAAGCCACGGCUAACUACGUGCCAGCAGCCGCGGUAAUACGUAGGUGGCAAGCGUUAUCCGGAAUUAUUGGGCGUAAAGCGCGCGUAGGCGGUUUUUUAAGUUCUGAUGUGAAAGCCCACGGCUCCACCGUGGAGGGUCAUU